CUCCGUCUGAUAGGUGCGGUCUGGGGAACUUGAGCUGCCCAGUCUCCCUCCUUCUUUCCCCUGCUGCAGACCCCAACUCUGAGCUUGGGGGACAGGGAGGCCGAAAGGGCCCUGUUAAACGCUGGGUGCUGGGAAGCCGCCCCCUCCAGGGAGCCCUCAGGACCUCAGGCCAGGGCUGGAAGCGAGAGGAGGCCGGAGCCCAGGGAAAACGGGCGACCGGGGGCGGCGCGCGUGUCAGUAAGGAGCCAGGCGGCGGGGACGGAAGCUCCGGGAGGGCGGCGGGCCGGGGCGGGUGUCAGAAGGCUCCGAUUGGGCCUUCUGCGGCCCUGCUUCCCCCGCCCCCGAACCCCCCAAAAGCUGCGGGCAGCGGCAGGGCGCCUGCGACACAGGGGCGCGCCGCGCGGGACCUGAGGAAAAGCUACGGCCAAGCCCCGAGCACAGGCGCGCCGCCGCGCUGGCUCCGGGAACGCGGACGCACGGCGGGGCUGCCACAGCAACGCAGACAGGAGCGCGGCGACUGGCGGAACCGCGGAGAGGCGGGACUCAGGAGGCGUCUCGCGAGAGUUAGGCUUCGCGGGCUUCCGGCCGGUGCCGGCCGCGGGGGCCGACGGGGUUAGGCUUCCGGCGUGGGUUGUGUGGCCUCUCCCAGCUCCACGCGUUUCUGGGCGCCGGGCACUAGGCGAGCCGGCCGGGCUGGCGCGAGGCCGCAGGCGGGAAGAGUCCCCGGGGUCGGCCCCGAAGCGGCUCUGGAGGCAGUAGCCGGGGACGCCGAGGUCAGGGAGGAGGCGGAUCCGAGCGCGGUCCCGCAGGGCCCUGUCCGUUCUUCCGCCUCGGCCGGUCCCGUCAGGCCGCCUUUAAAUGCCCGGCGCCUCGCACCUGCUAACAAAACGAGCUCCUGCUGUUCCCCAGCUCCGUAAAUGGUGCCCCUGGCCCUCCCCAGUUCUCAGGCAGAGCCUUGGCGGCCUCCCUGACCCCUAACACCCCGCAUCCAGCCCGGCAGUACAUCCUGUUGGCUGUGCCUUCGAAAUUUCCCCAGACCUGACCUCUUCUCCCACCUCUGCCACCACCCUGCUCCGAGCCGUCUUUUCCCGCCGAGAUGACUGUAGUAGCGUCUCAGCUGGGUCUCCCCGCUUCCACCUUCCCCUCCUGAGUCUCCUCAACACAGGAGCCAGAGCGAUCUCGGAAAGUACAGGAGGUCAUGCCCCAGUGUGGUUCCCCUUUCCUGGGUUUAAGUCAAGGUCCUCACCGUGCCUGCCGGCCUCCCGGGUCUCUGCGCGGUGGACUCUGGACCUCCCUGCCCCGUCCUGCCUCAGGGCCUUUGCACCUGCUGUUACCGCGGCCUGGAACGCUCCUCCCCUGAAACCCUGUGACUCCCACUUAGUGAGGCGACCACCUGUUGAAAACCGUGCCCCCUUCCUAUACAGAUGCUCCUGUCAUAUGGGGUUAGAUUCCCCAUCAACCCAUCAUAGGUUAAAGCAUUGUAAGGCAAUUUACGGUAGGUUUAUCCGGAUGUAACCCCAUCUGUAAGCGGAGGAGUAUACUGAAUGUGUAUGGCGUUUGUACCAUGGCAAAGCCAAAAUGUAAGUCAAACUCGAAGUCCAGGACGGUCUGUGGCCUGUACUCCCUUGCUUUCCCUCCCCGGCUCUUAGCGCCAUCCAGCAUCGUUGAUAAUGUAAUUUGAUGUGUAUUGUCUGAAAGCACCAAGACGGCAGAGUUUCUCUCUUAUCCAGAUCACAGUGUGUGCUCAGUAAACACUAGACUGAGGGGGUGUAUGAGAGGUCUUUUUUUCCUCUCUCCUUCCUCAGGAAUGGGUGAAGAUGAAGUCCUGUAAGGCAGGAGCUGGAUCAAAGAAAUAUCCCGGGUCUUGUCUGUGUGCAGACUGUUGUUUGAGGACUCUGCUCCAGUUCUAGCAGCGAUCGGUGGCUCCCUUGGGUGACUCUCCAGAAGGAAGGGUGCCAGCAUGGACUGGUGUCUGCUUGCCAGAUGCCCUGAACAGCUCAUUCCUCAGGAGGCCAGGGGCGCCUCAGGAAGUGCUGUCAAAUGCAAUCACUCUCAGAACCCUCUGGGCUGAAAGAUGUCAUUGAUUUAUGCUGGCAGCCCCGCGCAGCACUCUGCUAGGUGUUGAAUUGUCUGGAGAACACCUGGUAUCACCCUCAAGGCCCCUUAGUCUGGUAGGAAGGAAUGAUGAGGAAGAGGCUGUGUGGAAGUCACAGAGAAGGAGGAGGGUGGGAUCAGUUUCCAGGGUGGGGUCUCUGGAAGUCCUCUCAGGGGUUCUCAGGGGGGCAUUUCUGCCUAGAGCAGCAGGUGUAAGGCGUGAGCCAUGGACGAAGGGAAGGAGCCAGCCAUCAUUGAUCGCCUCCUCUGUGCUGGAUGUGGCUCUAGAUGUCAAGCUCACAUUUACACAUUAGCCUUCCUUUACAGAGGAGGAAACAGGCUCAGAAAGCCCCUGACCCCGGUUACACCACUACUAAAUGCAGGAUUCAGAUCUUCAGUUGAGCUCUUUGUGGCCGUGAAGCCUGUCCUCUUCCCAGGGCUCGAUGCCACUUCCCAGGCUGGAAGCCAGACAAGCAUCCGGGGCUGCCCGGAAUUGCAUGCAAAUGUCCGGACAGCCGGCUUCCUCGUGGGCCCCGGCACUGGCAGAGGAACUCUUUGCCGGGCAUGUGGCUUGGGCAGGCCAGGGCAGCCAUCUGCCAGCCAGCCAUGUGGGGAGGAGGCUGUAGGCCACCCCACAGCCAGAUGCUUCUGGGCCGGUCCUGGGCUCCCAAAGGUAGUUCCUUCAGGAGAUGGAGUCACCUGGCUCCUCUCUUCCCUUCCACCCAGUUCCAAAGUCAGGGGUUCUGGGGCUGUGUCAGCAAGGGGCCAUUCUGGCACUGUCCUUCUGGCACAGAGCAUUGUGGCCAGGGAUGGACAUCUGUUCUGCAUUGACCCCCAUGGCCAGGACAUCUGUGGCCCCACGGAACUCAGUGACAAGGAGAGUCGGCAGCAGGGAAAGGCCACGCUCUGUAGUGUGUCUGCCAGGUGGCAGAGGAUCCCUGACACAGCCCAGCUGGCAUCUGCCCUUGCCACUGAGGCUUCCUGAGGGCAGUCCCCAAGGGUCCUGCCAUGCCAGGGCUCCCCUUCUGCCAGGCAGUGGCUGCUUAAGCUGAGGGAGGGAGAAGCUGGGAGUUGGCCAUGACUGAUGGUACCAGGCCAGUGGGAUCUGGAGCCCACAGAUGGUGGAGGAUGGGGCACAGCCCCCACCCCUUACCUGUGACGUGCCCUGCCGGCGGGCAGAGGCAUCCGGUCUGCUCUGUAGAAGUUGGAGGUACAGACUGGCAGAGGGAGAAGCGGAAGAGAUAGCAUCAUUUUACAGAAGGGAAAGCUGAGGCCCUGAGCCAGGGGGAUAUGCAUGGAUGCCCCGUGGGCUUUCUCGCGUUUACUCCUCCGCACAGGGCCCUGUUUUUCAAUGGAGGAAUUAGGGCUUGAAGGAAAUGAAGUGAGGUUUCCAGGGUCCCCUGGCUAAGCCAGUUAUUUGGCCCUGACCGGUGCAAAUCUGAGAGGGGGACUAAGCAGGCCCUCAGGCCAGGGUCCGAGCUUGCUCACUCAGCCACAGCAGGGAAGAGUCAGCCUGAGGCAGCAGGCCCAGGAUCGAGGGUGACCCUCCUCCCAGAAGCAAGAUGUGGUGAGGUCCCAGAUGGGCUGGGAAGGUGGCAUGAGGGCUUGCUUCAAGGGAGCCUGCUGGCUGGCCUCCAGUAUCCACCUGGAAACAGCCCCCCAGGUGUGCCCCUCGAGCUGCUAACCCCAAUCUGGCCACCCCCCAACUCGCUCCUCAGCACUCCAGUGGUCAGGGUGUCCCCUUCCCUGGUCCCUCCUUGCCCCUCCUCUUAGCACCAGCAACCGGGGCCUCCAGCAGGCCAGAGAUCUUCCCACAGCCUCCUGGGCUUCCUGCCCAAGGCAGGGGCUGAUCUCUCAAGGGUGGGUGGGACUUCCGGCUGUGCCAUCAGCAGUUCCUGGCUGUAUCAGUUAGCUUUGGCUGUGUAACAAAUCACCCCAAAGCCUAGAGGCUUCACACAACUACCAUCUCUUAUCCCUCACAGAUCCCUGGGUUGCCUGACCAAUUCUGGUGUGAGCUUCCCUGCUCAGGGGACAGCUCCCUGAGCCCAGAGCCCUGACUGCAGAGCUGCCGCCUGCAGCCCUGCAUGCUGUUUCUCACCACACUGUGUCCCCGCCCUUCCAGCCCGUGGAGUCACACUUCGCCACCCAGCCCCCGAGGACACACUCAUGGAACCCCCAGUCAGGCGUCCAGACUAAGCCACCAGGGUGGCUCCUCUCAGCCCCACUCCUGACCAAAGCUUCCUGCCUAUCGAGCGUGGGGACCAACUGCAGGCACCUCCGUCUUCAAUGCCACUCCGGAGGCAGAGGGGAGCCUCCACCUUCCCUGGCAUUGUCACCAUCAACCUUAACAAUAGUUUGACUUGGUUAAGCUCCUCCAAGGGCCGGGGAGGUCGGGCUGGGGCCAGAAGGAGCAGCCUGUACCAGGUAACUGUGACAGCAGACAGCCAAUGGGCAGAAGAGAGGUGUCAACGUCCCCCACUGUCGGGACCAGAGAAGGCGCCAUGGGAUGAGGGAGGGUCUGAUCCCAAGGUAGGAGGAAGUAUCCUGGGUCCCGGGGUCCCUCGAGCAAUCUGCAUUGUAAGGGAGGGUCCCUCUGGGGCCAGGAGAUACAUCAGGAAGUGGCGGAAAGACUGCAUUUGGGGGCCAGAUCUGGAGGGCCCUGGAAGCCAGGCUGAGUCGUCUGCCUUUGCGAGUGAUGGGGAAGCGUUGACGGGCUUUGAGCCCGAGCCUGCCAGGAGCACAACGGAGCUUCAGGAAGCAGCUUUCCAGUAAGUGCCGGGAGCCUUCUUGGAAGCAGGCAGAGGAUGAAUUAUAAAUAAACAAACCAGAGCCCUGCAGCGGCGUGGGCCGGGUGGGAAGAGGGGAGAGACCGGAGGCAGGGCCUCACUUAGGUGCUAAGCAGCCCCUGGCCUGGCCCCCGCCAGCCCUCCCACCCUGCCUUGCACCCUGGCCUCGGGGACUCAGCGGCCUUCCUGCUCAGGGCAUCGGCGGGGACCUCAGGCUUCUGGGGCCAACCUUGGCCAGGCUGCAGAGGGGAGGCCUAGUGUAGACCCCCACUGUGGGACUGGGAGGCCCCCCUGCCUCUCACAACUCCAAGGGUACAGGCCCAAGUCUCUCUCACACCAAAACAGGCCCCGUGGCCACUCAUCCGUGUGGGAGGUGUCUCACCAAAUGUUUGAAGGGGAAAAAAAAUCCCAUUUUCUAAGGUGUUUUUUUCCUUUCUAUUUUUUGAUUAUUUUUCUAGAUGACUUCAUUUCUAAGAAGGGGGUAGUGGAGAGAAGGAGGACAGGGGGAGGGAGGACUUGGGCCCUGAGGAGGCCGCCGGGGACCAGAGCAGCGUUGGGGGAGGAGAGCGAGAGCCAGGCCCAGGGAAAGCCCAGGCCUCUUCAACCUGGGGAAUGGGGGGCUUCUGUGACCCGAGCCCAGGUGUGUCCCGAACCCAGGUGCCUCGAGUGCCGGCUAUGAACACAUCUCCCUCCUGAUCUCCCACGGGCCUGCUGGCCGCCUGUACUCCCACGAGGCCCUGUGGGGGAGGUCGGCUCUCCUCCAGCAGGAGGGGAAGGGUCUUCAGGCCUUCACCCCAGAUCUCUGGCAUGUGACGCGCCCACCCCCCACCUGUCCCAGGGACAGAGCUGAGAGCACUUCCCCAUCCCACACACCACUUGGAACCGGCAGAACCCACUCUGGCCAGCUUAAUGGAACCCAAUACAAGAUAUUAGGAGGCUCAUAGAACCUUCCGGAGAGCCUCGGCGGCCACACAGCCAAGAACAAGGGCCCAACCGUGCAGCCUCCCCCACCGGGCAUGGACCCAGCAGCCCGCACCUGCUGUUCUGAAAGCCAGGGCCCCGCUGCCGUCCCCGUUGGUCAAGGGAUUCUGGAGGCAUCGGCUUCCUGGCAUUGCUCACCUCUGAGGCUGAGGCUGAGGCUGGCAGGUGCGAGUGGAGCUGGCUCCUAUGCCUGGGCUCGGGCUGCAAGGGAGGCAGGCCCAGGCACAGGAUGGUGCUCAGAAGGUGGUGGCCACCCCAGCACUCCCUGAGCCCUUGAAAGACUUUUCCAACCCCAAUACCCAGCAGUCUGCUGGGCUGGAGAGACGGGAAGGGAGGCUGUCUCCCUCUCUGGGGGCUGCCAUUAACAAAUGAGCAUCAACUUGAUGGCUGAAAUCAACCGACAUUUAUUCUCUAACAGGUUUGGAGACCAGAAUUCCAAAAUCCUUCUGGUCCUCUGCGGGGACCCUGUCCCAGGCCGCUUUCCCAGCUUCCGUGGGUGCUGGGGACCUCGGCACUCCUUGGCCUGUGGAUGCAUCUCUCCCACUGUCCCACCUCUACCUUCCCCUGUGGGUGUCUGGGUCUCAAAUCUCCCUCUGCCUUUCUCUUUCGAGGACACCUGUCAUUGGAUUUCAGGUUAACCCUUCAUGCAGGAUGAUUUUAUCUCGAAAUCUUUAACUUUAUUCCAUCUGCAAAGACUAAUUCCAAAAAAGGUCACAUUCUGAGGUUGUGGGUGGACACCUGGGACCACCAUUCGGGGCACUACCAUGGGCAUGAUAAAUGGGCACAGGACGGGCAGCCGGGGAGGGAGGAGGAGAAGAGGGAAGGACGUGGGUGUCGGCUGGGACCGCUGGGGCAGGAGGAGCCAACUGCCUUGGGACUGUCGUCCUGGACGUGGGAUUGUCUGUCCUCUUACGCCCAGACCUGCUUGCCACUGCCAGAUGGUGUUUCCCACCACCCUUGGCCUCCUCACUGUUGCCUGGCAUGUCCCAGUUCUACAUGCCAUGAGCGCCCCACCUGCCCCCCAACAGCUUCCAGACCCCCUCCAAGCCUCAGAGCCCUGGGUUCUCCUGAGUCCCAGAGGCAAGAGAAGCUGCCCCAUUCCUCUCACCCAAGCCAGCCUCUUUCUCGGGUCACUGAAAGGACAGUAAGCCCCGCCAUCCCCUCGUCUCCUGACUCCCCAUAGCCCAAAGCUCUUUCUCCUCCCCAAAUCCCGCCCUGUGGAGUUUAAGCCAUUUCUUCUGAUGAGGCUCCCAGAGACAGAGACCUGUCAAGAUGCACAGGGCCAUGAGUCAGACUGGGGCAUGAAAAUGUCUGCACACAUUCUGCACACAGUCUCGCCUUUGAGGGAGACCUCAGAACUGCCUUUGAGGGUGACCUCAGAACUGCCUUUGAGGGAGACCCAAAUCCCAUUUCAGAGAUGAGGAGAGAGGUUUAAUACCCUGCUCCUGAGUUCACACAGACACGCCUGGACUUGAACCUGAAAUGACCAACUCCAGCUGUGAGUGACUCUUUUCUCUGAUUGCACCACAGGGACUCAGUCCCGUGAGGAAUGCUAUCCCUGCUGAAAUCCUUCUGGGGACAGGGAACUCACCACCUCACAAAACACAGGCUAAGGCCAGGCACGGUGGCUCAUGCCUGUAAUCCCAACACUUUGGGAGGCCAAGGUGGGAGGACUGUUUGAGGCCAGGAGUUUGAGACCAGCCUGAGCAACAUCUCAAGAUGCUGUCUCUACUAUAUAUGUGUGUGUGUGUAUACACACACACACUAGCUGGGUGUGCUGGCACACACCUGUAGUUACAGCUACUUGGGAGGCUGAGGCAGGAGGAUUGCUUGAGUCCAGGAGGUCGAGGCUGCCACGAGGCGAAAUUGCACCACUGCACUCCACCCUGGGUGACAGAGUGAGACCCCAUCUCAAA
rnacentral:lncRNA from 1 species